UAUUUUUACUCAGCUUUGUAACGAGUAAAACUUGGAAGUUUAUUGUUAGGGUUGAGGAGAGAUUGCAAUAUCUAGUAAGUCUUGCACCAUCCAAGUGAUUAUUCAAAGAAGGUAUAGCCAUUAUUACCAUGUCUGAACGCGCUUUGAAGCCACUUUGCGAAAUUAUACUUUUAAAAACGAGUUUACUGAAAAUAGAGAAAGCCUCUGAGGAAGCAAUGUGCCAGGGAGACUUAUGUUAAACAAAGAAAAUUAUAACUUUUAAUAUAGCU